rnacentral:rRNA from 1 species
AUGCACGCUGGCGGCGUGCCUCAUACAUGCAAGUCGAGCGCACAGACGAGGAGCUUGCUCCUCUGACGUUAGCGGCGGACGGAUGAGUAACACGUGGAUAACCUACCUAUAAGACUGGGAUAACUUCGGGAAACCGGAGCUAAUACCGGAUAAUAUAUUGAACCGCAUGGUUCAAUAGUGAAAGACGGUUUUGCUGUCACUUAUAGAUGGAUCCGCGCCGCAUUAGCUAGUUGGUAAGGUAACGGCUUACCAAGGCAACGAUGCGUAGCCGACCUGAGAGGGUGAUCGGCCACACUGGAACUGAGACACGGUCCAGACUCCUACGGGAGGCAGCAGUAGGGAAUCUUCCGCAAUGGGCGAAAGCCUGACGGAGCAACGCCGCGUGAGUGAUGAAGGUCUUCGGAUCGUAAAACUCUGUUAUUAGGGAAGAACAAAUGUGUAAGUAACUAUGCACGUCUUGACGGUACCUAAUCAGAAAGCCACGGCUAACUACGUG